rnacentral:rRNA from 1 species
GCCUACGGGGGGCAGCAGUCGAGAAUCAUUCACAAUGGGGGAAACCCUGAUGGUGCGACGCCGCGUGGGGGAAUGAAGGUCUUCGGAUUGUAAACCCCUGUCAUGUGGGAGCAAAUUAAAAAGAUAGUACCACAAGAGGAAGAGACGGCUAACUCUGUGCCAGCAGCCGCGGUAAUACAGAGGUCUCAAGCGUUGUUCGGAAUCACUGGGCGUAAAGCGUGCGUAGGCUGUUUCGUAAGUCGUGUGUGAAAGGCGCGAGCUCAACCCGCGGACGGCACAUGAUACUGCGAGACUAGAGUAAUGGG